GUCUUUUGCACCCAAUUUGUAGGUACAAUGGUCAAAAAAGAAACCUACUGUGCCUACUUGUUAUGUAUAUGUCAAGAAAAUCACAAUUAAUAAAUGUAAUAAAAUCACAAACUGCAUCAACAAAGAGGAACAGCAGUCACAGGUCUGGAGGUCAAGUAUGUGAGGAAGUCUGGAAGACAAUCUCUCGUUUACUUAUGUGUCUUGUCAUGUCAGCGGCUCCUCAGAGAACCAUCCUCCCAUCUAACAAUUGCUGCUUUCUGUUAUAAAGAGUAUCGUUCCUUCCUGGUGUGCAGCAUCCUGUUUAUCCGUCUCAUAUUCAAGAGCCUGUGUAUCCACUUUCCUGCAGAAAGAACAGUGGCUGUGUGGAAGGUAGCAUGGGGGCGCUCUUCUCCCUGAUUGGGUGUGCCUGGAUCAGCAGGAUCUCUGCAUUUUAAUGAGAUUAUAAACAGGGAGAGUGGCCGGACAGCACGUACUUGACACGUAACCUCUACCGCUGACUUUGCUCGGGUGUUGGGUGUGGAUAAAAGCAGGAUGGAAGGUGAUGACCCUGCCACGGGGACAAGAACUACGCUGACUGGUCAUAUGCUUGUGACAGGAAGUCCAACUGGAACAUGAACACCAGACACAUGGCCUUUUUCUAAUCAUUUUGUUUUGAUGGUUAUUUCAGUGAUCAUUUCAAAUCAUAAUUGAAUCAAUGUUUAUAACAAAAAAGCAAAUUAGAAACAAGAGAAUCUAAUAAAAUUGGAAUAAUCAUCAUCUUGUAAUAAUGAACAUUAUUUCCUCCACACAUCACUC